UAGGGAAUCUUCCACAAUGGACGCAAGUCUGAUGGAGCAACGCCGCGUGAGUGAAGAAGGUCUUCGGAUCGUAAAGCUCUGUUGUUGGUGAAGAAGGAUAGAGGCAGUAACUGGUCUUUAUUUGACGGUAAUCAACCAGAAAGUCACGGCUAACUACGUGCCAGCAGCCGCGGUAAUACGUAGGUGGCAAGCGUUGUCCGGAUUUAUUGGGCGUAAAGCGAGCGCAGGCGGAAUGAUAAGUCUGAUGUGAAAGCCCACGGCUCAACCGUGGAACUGCAUCGGAAACUGUCAUUCUUGAGUGCAGAAGAGGAGAGUGGAACUCCAUGUGUAGCGGUGGAAUGCGUAGAUAUAUGGAAGAACACCAGUGGCGAAGGCGGUUCUCUGGUCUGCAACUGACGCUGAGGCUCGAAAGCAUGGGUAGCGAACAGGAUUAGAUACCCUGGUAGUCCAUGCCGUAAACGAUGAGCGCUAGGUGUUGG
rnacentral:rRNA from 1 species